ensembl:lncRNA
GUUGCAGUGUUACAGAAAAGACUGUGGUGUUCUGGCAGAAAACCUGUUCUUGUUUGCCAGACCUCAUUGUCUGACUCCCUACAGAGGACAGGACUGUUUGAGGCUCUAUGCGAGUGAAUGUGGGGCUGAAAACCCUGAGCUCCUCAGGUCCACACUAUUACGGAAACAUGUCGCAACUUUGUCACAGAUCUUGAAUCUCAAGAAUCAUGAGUUAGACCAAGUUGCUGACUUCCUUGGGCAUGAUAUUCGCGUUCAACGUGAAUUUUACCGACUUCCAGAGGCUACUACCCAGCUGGCCAAAAUCUCCAAAUUACUGCUUGCCAUGGAGAAAGGGUCUCUCAGAAACCUUCAAGGCAAAACACUUGAGGAGAUUGAAAUUGAAGGUAGGCGUGGGCUGGUUAGCAGUUUCAAGGCAUACAGAAGUUUUAAACAGUCAAGGUUUCAAAACCACUAAAAUUUUCUGUGAUACCGUUUCCAAAGUAUGAGCUGCUUUUACACAAAAUUAAUUAAAUUAUAAAGUCAUGUUAUUGAUUUGAUAUUUACAUUUAAUAUGAAGAAUAUUAUAAAUUAAAGGCUUUAUUUUUCCUGGCAUACAUUUUGUAUGUUUCUUAAAAAUUAAAUGUAUUGUGUCCAUUUAAAAGGUUAUCAUACUUCCUGAAUCUCAUACUGGCCCAUGCAGUAAUGCCAUUUAAAGUUGUUAAGUAAAAUAUUAGAACUGUAGCAAAUGUGUUUUAGCAAAAUGGAACACGCAUUGUAUGUAGGCAAUCUAUAGCACUUGAAUCUCAUUAUUCAUCAAGGUAAAAUUAUUUAUUUUCUUAGAUCACCUACAGUUGACCGAAUCAAGUGCAGAGAGUGAGGUCGAUGAAGGAAAUCUCACAUAUCCACAGACUGGUAAGUACAGUGUGAUUUUCCUGAAUUUGUUUUAUGAAAUCACAUGACACAUGUUAAACUUUAUUACAGAUUCUACAGAGAUGAAACGAACAACACAACCUGUUGAAGCUUCAGGUUCUGCAGGACUGCUGAAUGCUAGGCAACUUGUUGAGAAACCUCCAGGCAUGUCUGCGCCAUUAUCACAAGCAUGUGAAAACGCAGAUGGAAAGGGCAAAGAACCCAGCAGAAAACUAAUGGAGGACAAAGAGCCCAGCAGAAAAAAGACAACGAAUAAACAGUCUGGUAAAUGCUCCUACACAUACACAUGUCACUAA